AGUGAACGCUGGCGGUAGGCCUAACACAUGCAAGUCGAACGGCAGCACAGGAGAGCUUGCUCUCUGGGUGGCGAGUGGCGGACGGGUGAGGAAUACAUCGGAAUCUACUCUGUCGUGGGGGAUAACGUAGGGAAACUUACGCUAAUACCGCAUACGACCUACGGGUGAAAGCAGGGGACCUUCGGGCCUUGCGCGAUUGAAUGAGCCGAUGUCGGAUUAGCUAGUUGGCGGGGUAAAGGCCCACCAAGGCGACGAUCCGUAGCUGGUCUGAGAGGAUGAUCAGCGCCACUGGAACUGAGACACGGUCCAGACUCCUACGGGAGGCAGCAGUGGGGAAUAUUGGAAAAUGGGCGCAAGCCUGAUCCAGCCAUACCGCGUGGGUGAAGAAGGCCUUCGGGUUGUAAAGCCCUUUUGUUGGGAAAGAAAUCCAGCUGGCUAAUACCCGGUUGGGAUGACGGUACCCAAAGAAUAAGCACCGGCUAACUUCGUGACAGCCGCCGCGGUAA
rnacentral:rRNA from 1 species